rnacentral:rRNA from 1 species
UAGGGAAUCUUCCACAAUGGGCGAAAGCCUGAUGGAGCAACGCCGCGUGAGUGAAGAAGGUUUUCGGAUCGUAAAGCUCUGUUGUUGGUGAAGAAGGAUAGAGGUAGUAACUGGCCUUUAUUUGACGGUAAUCAACCAGAAAGUCACGGCUAACUACGUGCCAGCAGCCGCGGUAAUACGUAGGUGGCAAGCGUUGUCCGGAUUUAUUGGGCGUAAAGCGAGCGCAGGCGGAAGAAUAAGUCUGAUGUGAAAGCCCUCGGCUUAACCGGGGAAGUGCAUCGGAAACUGUUUUUCUUGAGUGCAGAAGAGGAGAGUGGAACUCCAUGUGUAGCGGUGGAAUGCGUAGAUAUAUGGAAGAACACCAGUGGCGAAGGCGGCUCUCUGGUCUGCAACUGACGCUGAGGCUCGAAAGCAUGGGUAGCGAACAGG